rnacentral:lncRNA from 1 species
GUAUAAUUGUAUGUGAAGUGUCAGUGCUAGAAGUUCUGACACAUAUGUAUAAUAUAUAUAUGUGUGUGUGUGUGUGUGUUUCUUUUGAAGUUAUAUAAAUUCUUUUUUUUUUUCCUGACUCGCAGAUUGCAUUACGCUUCUCAGAACUUUCAUUCUCCGUCUCAGACCGUCUCGACAUAUGAUGCUGCAAAACAAUUUGAAAUAGAAACUCAUUUAAUCCCUUCAUAUUCAAGAAAUGCAGAACCUGAAGAGUAUGUUUUUAAUCCAAGUAACACUUCAAAGUUUGACGGAUGUGAACCUGAGGAAAUCUCUUCUCGGUGGAUGAUGAAUCAUAGUGAUAACUUUGACACAUUUUCUCUUGAUGAGCAAACCAGAGUUGUAGCUAAUGAUGUUCAGGAACAAACUGGUGCAGCAUCAUCUUGUAUUACUUGGGAUGAAAAGAUAGAAAUAGUGGAACCUACAGGACCACAAUAUCAUUUUAAUGAAAAUGUGUAUGGUCACCCUACGAAUUCUGACCCAAUUCUUUUAGAGGGGGAUGCUUCUAAUUUUGAAACUGAAUGCUGCAGUAACAAAAGCCCACCAAAAUCAGUCUGUGCUGCACAUCAAUUUGAUGAGUAUGAGAGUGACAUAGACAUUUACAUGGAUUCACGUAAUACCAUGGAGUCAGAAUCUGAAACUGAUUUAGAAUGUCAAACGAAGCGAGAAGUGGAGCAGUAUUCAGAUAUGAACACCAUAGCAAUCGAUGAAAAUCUAAAUAGGAUUAACCCUGAGUACAUGGAAAGCAAUUCUGCAAAUGCUCCUACUCAUGUUCCACCUCGUAUCUCCACAGAUGGUGAUAUUUCAGACAACCACCACCACUCAUUUGUCCUUGAAUCUAGCUCUGUCCUAAGCAAAGAAAUAUCCACUGCUAAGCCCAUUUCCGUAACCCCAGUAUGUAAUGCACAGGUACAGUCUCGUGACACAGGCAAAUCUUCAAUUCUGGACAGUCUGUCUUCUAGUGAGUUAAUCGAUAGUGAUGAUAUGACUAGCUCCAAAACAGAAACUGCUGUCAGAAAUUUGUCGUCCUUUGACUCGAAUGAACUAGUAAUUCAGGCUUUAAACAGUGAUAAAGUCUUAAGCAAUGCAUAUGGGUCACAAGAUUCUCCGUCACUGCCUUCUGUUACUGGAACAAACUUUUGGACAAAUGGUGGACUACUGGGGCUUCAACCAUCAAAACCCCCUGACUUCAGUACGCCAGGUCCUAUGAAUCAUGACUCCAUGGGUCCAAGCCGAGGUAAAACUUUUGAGGGCAAUAAACUUGCACCAGAAACCGAUAUCUCUGAGGGUUUUAAAGUGCCUAAACAGAAAAGUAGCUCUAAACACUGCAUAUCGCUCUAUAAUGAUCAGGAAGAUAGUACCUCUGUCAUGAAAACAUCUUUGAGUUCUUCACAAACUCAUUCAGAAAGUAAAAAUCAACAUACUGCCAUUUGUCAGCAUAAUGAUAGUCAGUUCCAGAAUCUACUUUUCUCUGAAGCCAGUAUUAUGAUACCUGGAACUAAAAAACCGGAUAAUCUGAAUUUUGAAGCUGCUAAAUCUCUUGGAUAUAUUGACAAGAAUUCAUCUCGGAUUUUUGAAUUAAGCAAUGAAGUACUUGAUAACAGUCAAGGUAAAGUAUGUUUUUCUCUUGAGGACAAUCCUCUCAACUCUUUCACAAGUGGUAUAUCUGAAAGAAAUAGUGUGCAUCAAACAUUUCAAACCUUCUCUGAUAGGAUCUUCACAGAGCAGUUUGGAACUAAAUUUUCAUUCAUAUCACCGUCAUCUUCUCCACCGCUUGAACAUAUGAAGAUAUCUUUUCAGCCUAUAGAUGGAUUUGAGGUAUCAAAGCUGAAACUGGAUUUCCCUGGUGGAAAUGAGUCUCUAGAAGGUGGUAGAGAUGUCUUUCCUUCUUUUCAACUAGUCCCAGAAGUGUCUCUUUCAUUGCUGGACAUUAAUUCAGACUCUGAUGACACUUUUUGUGAUUCAAAUUCUCACGGGUCAGAUGAUUCUAUCACUCAUUACUCAGUGUCAUAUUUUGAAGAAUGGGGAACAAUAGAAUAUCCUAAAUGCGAUGAUAGUGAUAUGUCUGAUGCUUUAUGCAUAAACUCAAUAGAAUCAGUUUCAAGUAACUUGGAUUUUGGGAGAAUUGCUCCGGGAGUAAUCACCAGCAAUAGUGGACUUCCAAAUCUAUUUUAUGAGAAAGUUAUGGAACAUUCAGAAACAGAUCUUCCAAGUUUUGAUACUUUAGAUGAUUCAAUCAAUGAGGAAUUACAGAAUGAUUCUAAAGCAAAGAUUGAACUGGAUUCAGGACCACUUAAGGAUUCCACACUGUCACCUACUCUCCCUCCAACAGAGUGCGGUAUGAACGAAAAUCCAGAUAUGGCAACUGAGAACCAAGUUCCUUCUGUUAAAGCCCUAAAACAUGAAUUUGAUCAGAAGCUUCAAUUUUCCACAAUCUCCCACCAACAGAAAGUAGAACCAUUUAAUCAUGGAAAUAUGGAGACAAUUGGAUGUACGAAAAAUAAAAAGGUACUUACCUAAUUGUCAAUUUUCAUGCAACUAUAUCAUGUCUUGUGUUUCGGCUGUAACAUACUAAUAUAUGACGUACAAAGUUGUGCAUGUUGGAGAAACUACCAUAAACUACUCAUGGUUAUGUAUAUGAUAUAUGCAGCAUCCAGAUGGCCAGAAGCUCAAUUUACAGANUUCAUUCUCCGUCUCAGACCGUCUCGACAUAUGAUGCUGCAAAACAAUUUGAAAUAGAAACUCAUUUAAUCCCUUCAUAUUCAAGAAAUGCAGAACCUGAAGAGUAUGUUUUUAAUCCAAGUAACACUUCAAAGUUUGACGGAUGUGAACCUGAGGAAAUCUCUUCUCGGUGGAUGAUGAAUCAUAGUGAUAACUUUGACACAUUUUCUCUUGAUGAGCAAACCAGAGUUGUAGCUAAUGAUGUUCAGGAACAAACUGGUGCAGCAUCAUCUUGUAUUACUUGGGAUGAAAAGAUAGAAAUAGUGGAACCUACAGGACCACAAUAUCAUUUUAAUGAAAAUGUGUAUGGUCACCCUACGAAUUCUGACCCAAUUCUUUUAGAGGGGGAUGCUUCUAAUUUUGAAACUGAAUGCUGCAGUAACAAAAGCCCACCAAAAUCAGUCUGUGCUGCACAU